CCCCGGGCUAAACUCCGUGCCAGCAACCCGCGGUUAAUACGGGAGGGGUGCGAGCGUUAAUCGGAAAUUACUGGGCCGUAAAGCGCAUGCAGGUGGUUUGUUAAGUCAGAUGUGAAAGCCCGGGGCUCAAACCUCGGAAUAGCAUUUGAACUGGCAGACUAGAGUACUGUAGAGGGGGGGUAGAAUUUUCAGGUGUAGCGGUGAAAUGCGUAGAGAUCUGAAGGAAUACCGGUGGCGAAGGCGGCCCCCUGGACAGAUACUGACACUCAGAUGCGAAAGCGUGGGGAGCAAAACAGGAUUAGAUACCCUGGUAGUCCACGCCGUAAACGAUGUCUACUUUGGAGGUUGUGGCCUUGAGCCGUGGCUUUCGGAGCUAACGCGUUAAGUAGACCGCCUGGGGAGUACGGUCGCAAGAUUAAAACUCAAAUGAAUUGACGGGGGCCCGCACAAGCGGUGGAGCAUGUGGUUUAAUUCGAUGCAACGCGAAGAACCUUACCUACUCUUGACAUCCAGAGAACUUUCCAGAGAUGGAUUGGUGCCUUCGGGAACUCUGAGACAGGUGCUGCAUGGCUGUCGUCAGCUCGUGUUGUGAAAUGUUGGGUUAAGUCCCGCAACGAGCGCAACCCUUAUCCUUGUUUGCCAGCACUUCGGGUGGGAACUCCAGGGAGACUGCCGGUGAUAAACCGGAGGAAGGUGGGGACGACGUCAAGUCAUCAUGGCCCUUACGAGUAGGGCUACACACGUGCUACAAUGGCGCAUACAGAGGGCAGCCAACUUGCGAGAGUGAGCGAAUCCCAAAAAGUGCGUCGUAGUCCGGAUCGGAGUCUGCAACUCGACUCCGUGAAGUCGGAAUCGCUAGUAAUCGUGGAUCAGAAUGCCACGGUGAAUACGUUCCCGGGCCUUGUACACACCGCCCGUCACACCAUGGGAGUGGGCUGCAAAAGAAGUAGGUAGUUUAAC
rnacentral:rRNA from 1 species